ensembl:lncRNA
GAAUAGUAUAAGAAUGCUAACUGGCCUUACAAAAAAGUACCAUAGUGACCACAGUUACCACUGAAAUACCAUUUAUAUAUGUUUUAUUACAUGUUGUUACUAAAUUAAGUUAACUGUGGUAACUUCAAAAUGGUAACUUUACACCUACUCUCGUGAAAACGACAGAAAGGUUAAUUUAGUUAAUUAUAAUCGGACACAUACUUAAGGGAGAUGAGAAAAGAAAGAGCCACUAAAUCGUGGUGCGAGUAGACGUCACCGAAGUGGUCGGAAACGUUCUUUCUCUAGUUCCGCAGGUGACGUCAUGUGUAGGCGUCACGGGGAAUUUAGUGUAACCACAGAGACUGCACCGUGCUCUGAUUGGUCGGCGCAUUAUGUGCUGGGCGGAGUCAAUAUACAUCGGAUGGGGACCCAUCGUACUAAUCUGAGAAUCAGUCUCCACUUUCCAGCACUCUUCACAGAGAACCACAGGAUGUCUGCAGCAAACUGUUCAGAGCUGGAUCUGGAGCUGGGAGACUUGCUGCAGGAGUUUAAUGAUGUGGUGGAGGAGCUGAGCACACCUCACGCCUCUGAACAUGUGCUGGGAGAUGUUCAGAGACACACAGCAGCGACUGAUGGAGACGACUCAGACUACUGCAGCGAAGCUUCGCUGGUAAACAGCUUGAAUGUCAGUCAAGAGGAGCUCAACAUCUCAAGCAUGACUACAGCCUCAAAAGCCAGGCUCGGGGACACCAGUGACCUACAGAGCUUCAUUGAAAACCUGGAUAGAGAGCUUGCAGAGAUGUGA